CUCUCAGUCUCUGACCUCUUUGCAAACUGCAUUCGGUGAAAUUUAUAGACCUUAUUUAUAGUUUGAUGUGCUCUGAUGAAUUGAAUACUCACAUAAGCACACCCCAAUCAAGAUAUAGCAUAUUCUUGUCACUCUAGAAAUUCUCCUGUGCUUCCUUCCAGUCCAUCCCCUCCCUACCUGGAAGCAGUCACUCUUCUAAAUGUUAUCCCCAUAGUCUAAUUUGCCUGUUCUAGAAAUCCAUAUAAAUAGAAUCACGCAGGAUACACUCUAUAGCGUCCUGCUCCUUUUACCCAACAUUGUAUAUGUGAGACUUGCCUGUAUUAUAGAAAUCAAUAGUUCAUACCAUUUUGUUGUUUAGUAUUUCUUUUCUGUUGCUGAGUAGUAUUCCACUCUUUUAUCUUUUAGUCUUUCCCUCUCCUCCUGUUGUCCUCAAAAGCACUAACUGUGCUUUCUUCAAUAAAAGCCAGGAAGCCUUCACCUGAAGCCAAGGAUGCACAGGGUGCUUAUUUUUUCAUGGAAUAGAGGAGGGAAAAGGCAGCACAAAAAACACAAGUUAGUAUCUCAGGCAAUUGGUCUGCCACAUAAUUAUUCAGAGAAGAGACUAUGAAGGCCUGGAUUAGGGUGGAGCAUGGGAACAGGGAGGAGAGGGGGCUAUGAGAAGGCUAGUGCAGUGGUGGCAUUGAUGGGAUUUAGGACAUAAUUAGACCUGGGGAAAGGCAGUGGAGGAAGGCCAAUGCUGAGUUGUUUAGCCUGGGAGGUGACUGAGGUGACUGGUGUAGAGGUGAGGAUGGAUGUUGGUACAAUAUCUAGAAUAAGAGGAGCCUAUUUAGGAGGGAAAAUGGUAAGUGCAGUUUGGUACCUGUUGAUUUUGAGGGGUAUAUUGGAGAUAAUAUCCAUUAUCUAGAAACAGAUCGCUAGCAGAACUGAAAGUGAAGAUAAAGAGUAAUACAUGAAGAGGUGAAUGCUGAAACCUUGAGAAAAGAAAGGUAAAGGAGGGAAAUAAGCCAAGAACAGGGCUUCGGGGAAUGGCAUGCAGGGGACCCAAGGAGGAAGAAGAGCCAAAAAAGGAAGGAGGGGGUGGCCACAGUAUUAUGAGUGGGAGCAGGGUGUCCUGGGAACGAGGAGAGCAAAGGACAUGAAAGAAAUAGCUGGCAGAAAUGCCAAAGCCUACAGAGAGAUGACAAAGAUAAAGACUGAAUAAAAGGUCAUUACAUUUCCCAGUUGGAAGAUCACUGGUGGCCUUUGAGGGAUCAACUUAAGAAGGGAAAUGGGAAUUGAAGAGGAUUGCAAGGAGACCUGGAGUAAGGGAGAAUAAUGAGACA
rnacentral:lncRNA from 1 species